GGCUCAGGACGAACGCGGGCGGCGUGCCUAACACAUGCAAGUCGAGCGGAGGCAUUGAAAUAUUAUGCCUUAGCGGCGGACGGGUGAGUAACGCGUGGGCAACCUGCCUUAAAGAGGGGGAUAACACCGAGAAAUCGGUGCUAAUACCGCAUAAAGUCAUUAGUUCGCAUGAGCUGAUGACCAAAGGAGCAAUCCGCUUUAAGAUGGGCCCGCGUCUGAUUAGCUAGUUGGUGAGGUAAAGGCUUACCAAGGCGACGAUCAGUAGCCGACCUGAGAGGGUGAUCGGCCACACUGGAACUGAGACACGGUCCAGACUCCUACGGGAGGCAGCAGUGGGGAAUAUUGCGCAAUGGGGGAAACCCUGACGCAGCAACGCCGCGUGGAGGACGAAGGUCUUCGGAUUGUAAACUCCUGUCUUCUGGGACGAAUAAUGACGGUACCAGAGGAGGAAGCCACGGCUAACUACGUGCCAGCAGCCGCGGUAAUACGUAGGUGGCAAGCGUUGUCCGGAAUUAUUGGGCGUAAAGGGCGCGUAGGCGGUUCUUUAAGUCAGAUGUGAAAACCCGAGGCUCAACUUCGGGAGUGCAUUUGAAACUGGAGAACUAGAGUGCAGGAGAGGAAAGUGGAAUUCCUAGUGUAGCGGUGAAAUGCGUAGAGAUUAGGAGGAACACCAGUGGCGAAGGCGACUUUCUGGACUGUAACUGACGCUGAGGCGCGAAAGCGUGGGGAGCAAACAGGAUUAGAUACCCUGGUAGUCCACGCUGUAAACGAUGGAUACUAGGUGUGGGAGGUAUCGACCCCUUCCGUGCCGCAGUAAACGCAAUAAGUAUCCCGCCUGGGGAGUACGGCCGCAGGGUU
rnacentral:rRNA from 1 species